rnacentral:rRNA from 1 species
GGGUUGUGAGGUUAAGCGACUAAGCGUACACGGUGGAUGCCCUGGCAGUCAGAGGCGAUGAAGGACGUGCUAAUCUGCGAAAAGCGCCGGCGAGGUGAUAUGAACCUUUGACCCGGCGAUGUCCGAAUGGGGAAACCCAGUGUGAUUCGUCACACUAUCGUUAACUGAAUACAUAGGUUAACGAGGCGAACCGGGGGAACUGAAACAUCUAAGUACCCCGAGGAAAAGAAAUCAACCGAGAUUCCCCCAGUAGCGGCGAGCGAACGGGGAGCAGCCCAGAGUCUGAAUCAGCUUGUGUGUUAGUGGAAGCGUCUGGAAAGUCGCACGGUACAGGGUGACAGUCCCGUACACGAAAGCACACAGGUUGUGAACUCGAAGAGUAGGGCGGGACACGUGGUAUCCUGUCUGAAUAUGGGGGGACCAUCCUCCAAGGCUAAAUACUCCUGACUGACCGAUAGUGAACCAGUACCGUGAGGGAAAGGCGAAAAGAACCCCGGCGAGGGGAGUGAAAAAGAACCUGAAACCGUGUACGUACAAGCAGUGGGAGCACCUUCGUGGUGUGACUGCGUACCUUUUGUAUAAUGGGUCAGCGACUUAUAUUCUGUAGCAAGGUUAACCGUAUAGGGGAGCCGAAGGGAAACCGAGUCUUAACUGGGCGUUAAGUUGCAGGGUAUAGACCCGAAACCCGGUGAUCUAGCCAUGGGCAGGUUGAAGGUUGGGUAACACUAACUGGAGGACCGAACCGACUAAUGUUGAAAAAUUAGCGGAUGACUUGUGGCUGGGGGUGAAAGGCCAAUCAAACCGGGAGAUAGCUGGUUCUCCCCGAAAGCUAUUUAGGUAGCGCCUCGUGAACUCAUCUUCGGGGGUAGAGCACUGUUUCGGCUAGGGGGCCAUCCCGGCUUACCAACCCGAUGCAAACUACGAAUACCGAAGAAUGUUAUCACGGGAGACACACGGCGGGUGCUAACGUCCGUCGUGAAGAGGGAAACAACCCAGACCGCCAGCUAAGGUCCCAAAGUCAUGGUUAAGUGGGAAACGAUGUGGGAAGGCACAGACAGCCAGGAUGUUGGCUUAGAAGCAGCCAUCAUUUAAAGAAAGCGUAAUAGCUCACUGGUCGAGUCGGCCUGCGCGGAAGAUGUAACGGGGCUAAACCAUGCACCGAAGCUGCGGCAGCGACGCGUAUGCGUUGUUGGGUAGGGGAGCGUUCUGUAAGCCGUUGAAGGUGUGCUGUGAGGCAUGCUGGAGGUAUCAGAAGUGCGAAUGCUGACAUAAGUAACGAUAAAGCGGGUGAAAAGCCCGCUCGCCGGAAGACCAAGGGUUCCUGUCCAACGUUAAUCGGGGCAGGGUGAGUCGACCCCUAAGGCGAGGCCGAAAGGCGUAGUCGAUGGGAAACAGGUUAAUAUUCCUGUACUUGGUGUUGCUGCGAAGGGGGGACGGAGAAGGCUAUGUUAGCCGGGCGACGGUUGUCCCGGUUUAAGCAUGUAGGCGGAGGUUCCAGGUAAAUCCGGUACCUUUUAACGCUGAGGUGUGAUGACGAGGCACUACGGUGCUGAAGUAACAAAUGCCCUGCUUCCAGGAAAAGCCUCUAAGCAUCAGGUAACACGAAAUCGUACCCCAAACCGACACAGGUGGUCAGGUAGAGAAUACCAAGGCGCUUGAGAGAACUCGGGUGAAGGAACUAGGCAAAAUGGUGCCGUAACUUCGGGAGAAGGCACGCUGAUAUGUAGGUGAAGCCCCUGCGGGUGGAGCUGAAAUCAGUCGAAGAUACCAGCUGGCUGCAACUGUUUAUUAAAAACACAGCACUGUGCAAACACGAAAGUGGACGUAUACGGUGUGACGCCUGCCCGGUGCCGGAAGGUUAAUUGAUGGGGUUAGCGGCAACGCGAAGCUCUUGAUCGAAGCCCCGGUAAACGGCGGCCGUAACUAUAACGGUCCUAAGGUAGCGAAAUUCCUUGUCGGGUAAGUUCCGACCUGCACGAAUGGCGUAAUGAUGGCCAGGCUGUCUCCACCCGAGACUCAGUGAAAUUGAACUCGCUGUGAAGAUGCAGUGUACCCGCGGCAAGACGGAAAGACCCCGUGAACCUUUACUAUAGCUUGACACUGAACACUGGUCCUUGAUGUGUAGGAUAGGUGGGAGGCUUUGAAGCGUGGACGCCAGUCUGCGUGGAGCCGUCCUUGAAAUACCACCCUUUAAUGGCUGGUGUUCUAACGUAGACCCGUGAUCCGGGUUGCGGACAGUGUCUGGUGGGUAGUUUGACUGGGGCGGUCUCCUCCCAAAGAGUAACGGAGGAGCACGAAGGUUAGCUAAUCCUGGUCGGACAUCAGGAGGUUAGUGCAAUGGCAUAAGCUAGCUUGACUGCGAGAGUGACGGCUCGAGCAGGUGCGAAAGCAGGUCAUAGUGAUCCGGUGGUUCUGAAUGGAAGGGCCAUCGCUCAACGGAUAAAAGGUACUCCGGGGAUAACAGGCUGAUACCGCCCAAGAGUUCAUAUCGACGGCGGUGUUUGGCACCUCGAUGUCGGCUCAUCACAUCCUGGGGCUGAAGUAGGUCCCAAGGGUAUGGCUGUUCGCCAUUUAAAGUGGUACGCGAGCUGGGUUUAGAACGUCGUGAGACAGUUCGGUCCCUAUCUGCCGUGGGCGCUGGAGAAUUGAGGGGGGCUGCUCCUAGUACGAGAGGACCGGAGUGGACGCAUCACUGGUGUUCGGGUUGUCAUGCCAAUGGCACUGCCCGGUAGCUAAAUGCGGAAAAGAUAAGUGCUGAAAGCAUCUAAGCACGAAACUUGCCCCGAGAUGAGUUCUCCCUGAC